rnacentral:rRNA from 1 species
GACGAACGCUGGCGGCGUGCUUAGCACAUGCAAGUCGAACGGAAAGGCCCUGCUUUUGUGGCGUGCUCGAGUGGCGAACGGGUGAGUAACACGUGAGUAACCUGCCCUUGACUUUGGGAUAACUUCAGGAAACUGGGGCUAAUACCGGAUAGGAGCUCCUGCUGCAUGGUGGGGGUUGGAAAGUUUCGGCGGUUGGGGAUGGACUCGCGGCUUAUCAGCUUGUUGGUGGGGUAGUGGCUUACCAAGGCUUUGACGGGUAGCCGGCCUGAGAGGGUGACCGGCCACAUUGGGACUGAGAUACGGCCCAGACUCCUACGGGAGGCAGCAGUGGGGAAUAUUGCACAAUGGGCGGAAGCCUGAUGCAGCAACGCCGCGUGCGGGAUGACGGCCUUCGGGUUGUAAACCGCUUUCGCCUGUGACGAAGCGUGAGUGACGGUAAUGGGUAAAGAAGCACCGGCUAACUACGUG